GGCUGUUCAUUGAAGUCUUCAGGCUUUCUGGCUACUGCUGCCUGGAGAUUGGAAGAGAGAGACAUUUAGGAAGGCUGGGACCCCAAAGUUAUCAUGAAGCUUUAAUCUCACAAAUGGGAGCUUCCUGCUCAUGAAGACCAAAGAACACAGCACCAAGAUGAAAGUCCAUCUCUGUGGCUGGCUUGCUUUCACUGUUCUCAUGAUGUGCACAUCCCAUGGGACCCGGGGGACACCAAGGGAGCUGCAUAGGAACAAAGAGCUCUGCAGGCAGGUUCUGGCCAGCACCACCAGCAGCGUCGCUGUGCUUGAAUCCCAAGAAGCGAAGGUGCCAUCCUUGUUGUGUUCGUGCCACUGAUACAAGUUGAGACACCAAUCCUGAUCUGCCUCUCUGUGUUGGAUCUCUUUGUGAAAACAACUGUUGGCCUCGAUGAUCUCAAAGGUCCUUUCCAACCAUGAAGAUUCUGUGAUUCUCCCCUCCCAUCAUCCUGGGUGGAUUUUGCACACUGACCAGAGAUAUUCUUUAUUUAGCUUAGCCCAGCUCUACCCAUGAAUGUCUAUGGAUGCAUCUGCUAAAUACUGAAGGAGAGCCCGGAGGCACCAUCUCCCCGGCCGCGCAGUGACCUGGAUUAGAAACUGGGCAGGAUGAGGAGACCACUCCAGCAUGUGAAAGACGUGAAGGUUUUCAAAGAACGAGGUCAACACACACUCACUUAAGGGAAAGACAUGCUGUUUUUCCUCUCUCUGGCAAGGAGAGGUGCCAGGGUUGUGUCAUUCAAGAGCACCGCUGGAUUUGAUCAGAAGGUGGGCUCUGUCCGAUGCUACCCAGGCUCAGAGGUCUAUGGAGAACCAGCUCUCUCUUCAUCCCAUCUGCACUGGGGAGCUGUAACCCAUGGCUGCGACUCUCCAAGGAGUAGAAGAUUUUGCGUGCAGUCAAUUCCAGAUGAACCAACGGAUAGUUGCGCAAGUUUUUAUCAGUGGUCUCUCUCUGCGCUGGUACAAUAGCAUCUCCCAGGCUUUGUGACUCCUCUGAUUUUCCAAGAGCUGCCAUAAAUUGAGGUUGCACCUGGAGGAUCUGGGAUUCCCACCCUGUGACUGAGACCAUCACCAGAUCACGACCCUUUCUUGGAGAUUCCUUUCUCAGUCAGUGUCCCUGAAGCGUGUCCAGAUGACAUCUCCGGAGCCUGAAGAUCAACUAGAGAUGACCUGCAGCAUUAACACCAGAGUGACGUGCCCUUCAGUGAUCCACCACCAGCAUGAACACCGGAGGGACGCGCUUCAGGGAUCCACCCCUUUCUUUUCCAUGUGAAGAGCAGCAGCUCCCGCUAGGAGGGAGAAGACAGGGUGCAUAAACGGGAAAUGGUGAUGCUGGAAGAGGAUGCAGGGGAGCUGCGGACACCCCGAGAGCAAACAACAUGCAGCACAGCACAGGCUGCAGCCAUGCACGACCAGGAGCCUCCAGGCUCUCCUCAUCAUGACAGUAAGUGUGAAACCUGGAAGUUGGGGAGCUCUGAGAACUGCAGACACGUGUCUGGGUGUGGAAUCCCACGGGGCUGUCCCCGUGCCAGACCUGAGGGCAAACUGGGACACGCUCCUCUUUUGGUCUGUUGGGCUACUGGAUGGUAACACCUUCCACCUUCCAUGCAGGUAACACCUGCAAAAGCCACCAUGUGGAUGAACUAGAGGCUUAUUAAUAAAGCACUUAUCUUAAAAGUGAUAGUGCCUUUGAUGCCUCUGUGUCCCACACCGCCCAAUCCAGCCCUCCAUCUCAGUGGGGAUUCUUCUAUCUGAUAGAAUCAGAUCCCCCAAAGGUACACAUCGGACUUCACCAUCCUUCCACAUCACCCACCAAGUGCACCCAGAUUGUGGGCAGACAGAAGUGUUCCCUCCCUCUGUUUUUGGGGAUGAGAUGUGUCCGAGCAAAGCGUGCCAGAGCACAUCCCACAGGCAGAUGUGUCCUGGAGGGUGAGCAGGAAGGCUGGGGUGAAGGCAAUCCAGCAGAGGGAAAAGUAGCAUUGGUGAGGAUACUCUUGUUUGUGCCUGACAGACACGCUGGCCCUUUGGGGAACCGGCAGAAAUUAUGCAGCAGCAGGCUCGAUUGCAUGGAUAAUGUAGUCAUUAAAUGGGAAAAAAUUUGUAGGCCUUCUCCUCUGCCUUGGUUUAAAACCCAGCCUGAGCUCCUACCUUCUCUUCAGGGGGGGAAUUAGGAGGAGGGCACAGCUUCUCUGCUUCCCUUCGGGGGUGGUGAGCUGCAGGAAUGGAGGAGUCUCCUGAGGUCCCACAGCAUCAUGGUGUUCGACUCUCUCCUCACACGUGGCUCGUAGCUCCUGCUAAAAGCAUAGUUUGAAAGAGGUAUAUAUCCCUUUGGCUCACCGGAUGCUUCUCCCCCCCAACAUUGGUAUCCAGCAGCU